UGGUCCCAGCCUUAGGAUCAGUUAUUACUUAGUAUACACAUGCAAGUCUCCGCACCCCUGUGAAAACGCCCUUAAAUCCCUCUAAGGGAUAAGGAGCUGGUAUUAGGCACAAUAAUAAGCCCAAGAUACCUAGCUAUGCCACACCUACACGGGAUCUCAGCAGUGAUUAACAUUGAACAUAGGCGGAAGCCUGAAUCAGUUAAAGUAAAUAGAGCCGGCAAAUCUGGUGCCAGCCGCCGCGGUUACACCACGUGGCUCAAACUGACCCCCUCCGGCGUAAAGCGUGAUUAAAGUUACUUCCCUACUGCAAUUAAACUAGAAUUAAGCUGUGACACGCUUAUUCCCAUGAAACCCGUAAACGUAAGUCAUUGCAACUCAACAACUUGAACUCACGACAGCUAGGAAACAAACUGGGAUUAGAUACCCCACUAUGCCUAGCCGUAAACUUUUAUCUACACCUCAAUCGCCAGGGAACUACGAGCAAAGCUUAAAACCCAAAGGACUUGACGGUACCCCAUAUCCACCUAGAGGAGCCUGUCCUAUAAUCGAUAACCCCCGCUUAACCUCACCAUUUUUAGCCCAUCAGCCUGUAUACCUCCGUCGUCAGCUUACCUCGUGAGCGCCAACUAGUGAGCUUAAUGCCCUUUCACCAAUACGUCAGGUCAAGGUGCAGCAUAUAAAAUGGGAAGAGAUGGGCUACACUGUCUAAUAUAGACCACACGAAAGACUACCUAUGAAACCUAGUCGGAAGGCGGAUUUAGAAGUAAAAAAAGACCAAAGAGCUUUAUUUAACUCGGCACUGGGGUGUGUACACACCGCCCGUCACCCUCUUCAAAGUCUUACCCCAGUCUUUAACACACUUAGACACCUCAGAAGAGGCAAGUCGUAACAUGGUAAGUAUACCGGAAGGYGUGCUUGGAA
rnacentral:ncRNA from 1 species